UACGUAGGGUGCAAGCGUUGUCCGGAAUUAUUGGGCGUAAAGGGCUCGUAGGCGGUUUGUCACGUCGGAUGUGAAACCCUGAGGCUCAACCUCAGGCCUGCAUUCGAUACGGGCAGACUAGAAUUCGGCAGGGGAGACUGGAAUUCCUGGUGUAGCGGUGAAAUGCGCAGAUAUCAGGAGGAACACCGAUGGCGAAGGCAGCUCGCUGGGACGGUACUGACGCUGAGGCGCGAAAGCGUGGGGAGCGAACAGG
rnacentral:rRNA from 1 species